UGCCGGUCGUUUGUGUGAGCUGCUUGAUCGUGUGGUUUUGUGUUUGCUUUAAUGAAAUGGGACGUAGUUAGCGUGCACAAAAGUGCCAGAAGAUACCUUGUGUUUCGUUGCAAACUCGCCGUAUGCGUGGCGCGCGAGGCAAACAUGGACCAACGAUUUUUGUGCCGUGGCCUUUGUGUCGGGUUGUCGUGCAAAGUUGGGUGGACAUCGCAAAGAAAUCAUUCCUAUUGGUAGCGUGCCUCAGAUCGUCCACUACGCAGCGGCAUGUAUGCUGGGAGUAACAUCGUCGACGCAGCACCGGCAACUUGGAGAGCGUCGUGCCAUUGAAAAGUGGUGAGGCCGUGACCCACAGCAGUGUCCACAUGAUGGCAGGGAACCUGUGGCCCUGGCUACAGCAGCACAGCGUGUAAUCUGGAUGUCACGUCAGGUGAACGAUCUUAUCUGGCCUGAAGUCCUAUGGCGGCAAUGCACGACCGCAUUGGGGAGGCUGAGGUUCAGGGCAAGAGCCUUUAUGGAAAGGGCAGUAACAGGCACAAGAAG